UUUUUUUUGUUUCUUCUUUGUUUACUUUUUUGUUUUUGUUUUUGUUUUUAUAUUAUUUAGGAUUUAGCUUUAUGUGGGUUGGGCCCAAUUUCCUUGGGAUUGUUUGCACCUGUCCAUUCCUUUCUGCACCCCCUUUCUUUCUUUUUUAAUUUUAAUUUUAAGUAUUUACUUUUUGAUUAAUUAAUUUAUUUAGAUUAUUAAUUAGUUAGUUAAUUUAU
rnacentral:lncRNA from 1 species